CCUACUGGAGGUCUUCUAAGGCUGCCUCACGUACUUGGAAGAGUACAUGGAGCAAGAUAAGAAGCCUGGAGUGCUAAUAGUUCAUGUGAAAUUCAGCUCCCUGUUUGUCACACACCACAGCCUGGCUCUGGAAUGGAGCAUCCAGGGAGGCUGCCCAGCAGAAGCAGCUUUUCAGGAGCUACUCAGACAA